UGCACAAGCCACUGGGAACUUAGGAGCCCCCUUCGCCUCUGCUCUUAAGAAAGAAAUACUAAUAUUUACUGAAUCCUUUCAAACAUAAUCCCACGCCAUGUUUCCUCAGUGGCUGCAUUUGCAGAUGCAUUAACUAGGAUUCUUUCUACAUAGAUGUGAUAUUUAUUUAUUUACUUAUUUAUUUUUUAAGAUUUUUUAUUUAUUUAUUGAGAGAGAUAGUGAUAGAGAGAGAGCAUGAGAUGGGGGAGGGUCAGAGAGAGAGGCAGACUCCCCGCUGAGCAGGGAGCCCGAUGCGGGACUCGAUCCCGGGACUCCAGGAUCAUGACCUGAGCCGAAGGCAGUCGCUUAACCGACUGAGCCACCCAGGCGCCCCUAGAUGUGAUAUUUAUUAGCCAUGUGGAUAAACGCUACAGUUCAAAGCACCUCAUCACACAGUAAUUGUGCCCAACCAAUUGGUGUUUUUUUAUGUAUUUAUAUCCCGCUGCUUGGGGCAGCUGUUCAGUCCAGGCAGCUGGCUUUAUUGUUUGACCUGAGGGGCAGGGAGAAGCAGGGAAGAGUGCGGUUUUGGAGCUGACUACAUGGGACACCACUGGUUGUCGUCGUCGGAAGCGUGGACAUGUUGCCCAACUUCUCUGAGCCUCAUCGUGUGAGUAAUAUGCUGAUGGUGCACAUUUCAGAGGAUUUUUGCAAGAACGAAGAAGGAGUCUGUGAAAUGUCUGUGAGUAGGUGCUCAGUGAAUGACAGCAUCUUUGUUCCUUUCAAUGGGUGCAGAUUCUGUGCUCAGUGUCCCCUUAUCCAGAGAAGUGGUGGGACUUCCCCAGGAUUCCAUGGCCAGGGAGAGACUGAGGCCUGAGCUGGGCUCCGUGGACCCUGCCCUGCGGACCCAGAAUCUGAGCUCUUUGCUUCUUGAGGAGCCCAUGCAAACAAGGGGUCUUGCCGAUCCUCUGUAGUUGAUCCAAACACGCCACCACCCAGCCCUAAUGGCUUCCAACCCGAGCACCGACCCAGUGGAGGAAUGACGCUGCACUUGGGCAGCCUGAGGGUUCCGUGGAAAAGCCAUUCCCAUGGCAACAGACCCUUUACCAAAGAAACGGUGUGAGGUCACUUGGGACAGAAAUAGAACCGUUUUCACCUUCUUUGCUCCAGGAUAAAGGGACUUGGUGUUUCUGUCAGUCGGCAGAAAAAUAAGAAAGACUCUCUGCAUUUAUGAAUGAGGAUAAUUAUGUAAAAUUCUCACUGCACUUACGUAGCUGAACGUCUUUCCAGAGAAAGUUGUUAAUUGUUUAUUGCAGAGGAAGUGCAACGACUGAGCAUCAAAGAAAAACAGGAUUUCUGAUCUAUCAGCUGAAAAACAAUUUAAUUGAUGGAAAUAAAAUCUGCAAAUCUGAGAACAGCAUAAUUUGUUUGCCGUAAUUAUGCAAAUGUUGUCUGUCCCUGCCCAAGCUAGUCACUCUGUUUAUAAAGCAGUGGAGGCAAAGACUAUUUUUAACAAUGUUUUUCUUAUACAAAUAGUAAAUAUUCUCUGAGGAACUCUGGAAGAACAGAAGAGAGCAUAAAGAGAAAAUAAACUCUGGCCCAGAGUCCACGGCUGAUCCUCAACUCCAGGUGUCAUCGUGAUAUCCCUCCUUUUAUUCUGCAUUCUGUGUUCUUGGAAAAGUGUAGCCAUUUAUAUGAUUCUUCAUUUUUCUUCUCUUAAGAUGAUACCCUGGAUAUUAAUAUUAUGACUACUCUUCAUUCUGUGUUUAAACAAAACUGUAAGAGUUUAUACUUCUGAACAAAAUUAAAAUAUGAUCAUUCUAUUACAGUAA